AAGGUUAUAAGCAAUAUCUAGAAUAUUAUAAUUCAUUUAAAGUACUGCAGGCCUGACCACAAAAUACAUAAAUUCACAAACACAACAGAACGACCGAUGACCAUCUAAUCACCUACAAAACAAAGAGGUCUUCUCGUCGGGCACGUGCUUUCAAUUUGCUUCAUCAAAUUUCCAUCUUUUUUUAUUGUUGAGUCACGUCUUGAGAGAAAGAGGAAAGAGAGAAAAACUUUUGGGUCGGUACCCUUGGGCUUAUCUCUUCUCUUUCUCUCUCUUCUCUUCUCUCUCUCUCUUUCUCUCUCCCUUUUCACAAAUGGUGGAGACCAUGGCCGUCUAUGUUUCAUUUUUUCUCAUUCUCUUUUGCUCUUUUCUUCUUGUGGUCUCGUUUGACCACGAUCUCUCUCUUCUAUCCUCUCUAUGGUUUCCUCACGACCACAACCUCCCUUUUUCCCUUUUCGUGGUCCAGCAUGAUCACGAUUUCUCCCUUUUCUUUUUUUUUUAUCUCUUGCAUGACUAUUUUCUUCUUGUGCACCCUCGGGCUCACAUGCCCAAUCUUUUUCCUAUAAUCCCUCACAUUAGUCUUCCUCACUCUUCUUUUUCUGAAUUCCCUACAAUCACCCUUAUAGGUAGACCCUCAUGUCUCUCUUCUCCUUUUCACAAACCAUGGUCCAAAUCUUUAUCAGCCGCGUGAAUGUAAUCCCAGCGCCACGCGCGUCAACAUAACCGAUCGCCACGUGAAUAUAAUCCUAUCACCGCACGUCUGAAUAUAACUUAUCGUCACAGGUGAAUUUCUGCCUAUCGCCGUGUGCUUCUGUCCACAUCAUCGCCUCGUAUAUGCUUCUUUCCGUAUCAUCACCCUGUGCACUCAUUUUAUUUAUCCCCGUAAACACAAAUUUUACCUAUCAUCGUGCGCAAUCAUUUUACCUAUCGUUGUGUGCACCCAUCUUACUUACGCUGUAUGCAAACCACUAUUGGCAACCACCUAUCGCCGUGGGUGUAACAACCCCGUCACCGCCCAUCCCCUUAAUGCACCCAUCUUACCUACUGCCGUGUGCAUCCACGUAACAUCGUGUAACAACCACAUCCCUUCAAAGCACCCAUCCCCUCAAGGCACCCAUCUUACGUAUCGCUGUAAACACUAUCUUAUCUGUCGCCCUGUGCUGUAAACACUAUCCUAUCUAUCGCCGUACUCAUUCUACUUAUUUCUGUAUGCACCCAACUUACAUAGGCCGUAUGCAAGCCACCACCUAACGCCGUGUGUGUAACAACCCCAUCCCCGUGAGUGAACGCCACCCAUCGCCGUGCGUCUCAACCCUUCCUACGGGCCAGCAACCUCCGCCUCUCUUUCCACCUUGGCUGCACCCACCUCUGUCCCCAGUCACCAGGCAGCAGUUUCCACCUUGGCUGCACCCACCUCUGUCACCAGUCACACCUCUGUCCCCAGUCACCAGGCAGCAGUUUCCACCUUGGCUGCACCCACCUCUGUCCCCACUCACCAGGCAGCAGCUGCCUGCUACUUUCUUCCUCUCUUCGCCUCCCACUCAAUUGUGACUACAAUUGGUUCCUCUGUAACUCCCUGCUAACAAUCAUCUACAGCCACCUCCACCUCUCUCCCUUCUCCGUCCCACUCAGGAGCUAACGUCUUCUUCCCCUCCAUCCUCGCUGCCUUUUCCUCUGUCAAUCUCGCCGCUUCCUUUCUUCCUCGCCAUCCCUUCCCCCACUCCCUCGCUCAGCUACAACCAGCUGCAAACUAUCGCCACCACAACUUCCGCAGCUGCCUCAUCCCUGCCAUUUGCAGCAACACCAGCAACAACCACCACCAGUGGCGCUUCCACCACCAUCACCUGCAAGCCAUCUCCGCCUAUCUUCUGCCACACCAUCCCUCUUCUUUGCAACCUUGCUCAGCCACCUUGCAGCUGCAACCAUCAACCACUCGUGCACUUCCUUUCUCCUUCUCCACUGCCGCCCUGCUCUUAGCAAUCUCCUCCCCUCUCUAUCUCUGCUGCCCUGUCACCGCCCCUCUCUACCUCUGCUGCCCUGCCUCCGCGCCUUUCUCUCUGCUGCACCACGAUUUACGCCACCUUCCUGUCCCACUUCUCUCCUGGUUCUCCAACUUUCCCGCAGUUCUCCUUGCCUUUUCCCAGCCCUUCGCGAUCGUCUCCCUGUUCUCCCUCUCUCAAACAAAAAACCCAAAGUGAGCGCUCUACGUUUCUCUCUGUCUAACCGUCUGUGUCUCUCAACUUUCUUCCCUCUUUCGUUUCCGUUGCGUUUUCUUUUCAUAACAUUUCGUUUCGUCUCAUAUUUCGUUCACUCUUCCUCACGUCGUCCUACUUCAAGCCUCUCUCUCCGUUACCUAACCUACCCAUUUUUGUUAUCUCACGGUUAACUUCCUACGUCCUCACAAAUACCCAAAACUCUUCUCUGUCUCUCUCUCAUCUAAGUAACCAACAAAAGCUCUCUCUUUUUAAACUUUAAAAGCCCAGUAAACCAACUUUCUCUCUCUCCCAACGAAAGUUCCUUUUUCUUUAUUUUAUUAAAACCAUCCUAUUUUACUUCUUCUACCCCUUUCUGUUACCUUUUUCCAUUUUACUCAUUCUUUUCAUUUUAUUUCACCUACUUCAAUUUAUUUUCCAUUAUUCCAUUUUAUUUUCUUUCUUUUAUUCCACCUAUAUUAUCCCACCAUAUCUUACUAUAUUUCCUUCAUUUAUUUUUAAUUACCUCAUUUUAUUUUAUUUUUUCUAUCCUUUUUAUUUUAUUUUACUCCAUUUCAUUUUAUUUAUUUACUUCACUUCAUUCCAUCUUAAUCAUAAUUCCAUUUUAUAAGUUUUUUUAAUUCAUCUUUUUCAUUUCCAUUUCAUCUCAUUCUUUAUUACUCGUAUUUCACUAUCACUUUUAUUUUCACUUUCGUCUCUUUUUGAAGACCUAGCGAGAGUCGAGCUAGUCUUCAUUUCCUUUCUUUCUCUCCAUCGCUUGUUUGACCAGAGAGCAGGCUGGGCCUUAAGCUAUCAUGCCAGUCUUGUCGUCGAGCAGUAUUGCCGUCGUGCCGGUCUGAAUUACCGUACCCGUUUUGCUGCUACGUCAGACUAGUCAUUGCGGCUGACUAACCGUCGUGCCAGUUCUGUCGUCGAGCAGUAUUCCCGUCGUGCAGGUCUGAGUUACUAUGCCCGUCUUGCUGCCACAUCAGACUAGCCAUUUUGUCAGGCUGGUUGGUAUUGAUUCCGUCGUCGAGUAGUAUUGCUGCCAUGUCGGUCUGAGUUACCGUGCCCGUCUUGCUACCACGUCAAGUCAGUCAACGUAUUGGAUUAGACAAUGUGCCAUCCUAGCCACCCGGUCAAAUUCCUUCUCUCACUUUCACUUCACAUUGUAACAAGGUGGGGACCUAUGCCCCACUUGUCUGUACUUUUAAUUGUGUGUGUAUGGUUGCAGGAAAGGAGAUACAGGUCAAGGGAGGCGAUUCCAAGCUGGCCAUAGGUCAGGGGGAACUUUCCAACAUGAUCUAAGAGGGCAUGCACGCAAGCUAGCUCAAGUGUGUACAGACCCACGUGAGAUAAGUCCCACCUCAUGACCCCGAUUUCUCUUGGUACUUCUGCUCGUCUUCUUUACGUGGUUUUCGAGAGAGUAAUCUCAGGUUCCGAGUCCAUCUUGAACCCGGAACCACACCACCAGGUUAACCCGACUCGGAGGGCGAGAUCGAGGUACCUAACCAGCUUGGCGACUCCACUAGGGACACGCUACCUCAUCAUUGGAUCGUUCUUGUUUGACCUUCCUUUCUUUUUAUUCCUGCUCACUAUACACACACCCGUGAGUCUUCAUCAGGAACAGAUUACACGAAACUUGUUCCCGACCUUUCUCCCGAUAGAGGUGAGGAUGGACCUAAAAGUCCUUCACUCCCUACGUCCGUGCAUUGGUGGCAUGCAUGUCACCACAAUCAGCAUGCACCCUGCUACCGAAAACUCACUUGCUAAUGUUAGAAGGUAUUUUUCAUCAACAUGGGGUCCCCGCUCAAUAAAGGCCUAGAAAACAGUGGAAAUUUUGAUAGUCUCAGAAUAACCCCAGAACAAGCCAAGAUCUUCAUUAGGUCUCUCAAAAGUCUCUUACCAAGUUUUGUCAUAUUUUGAUAUGUCUAAGGCAGUGUAGACUGAGAAACAGUUUCAACAAAAUCGGCCUCUAGUACCCUAAAACAGACCCUAUAACUAGAGUUUCAUUUUUCGGUGUCUCAAUUUGCUAUGGGACCACUACCAUUAGAAUAUGCACAAUUGAAGAUCCCUAGGGGUCAAAUUUAAGCUCGAACGGACACUCCAAGAAGAAGUUAUAGGAAGAAGAGUGAAAUAGGAGGGGCUCCACGUUAUUCCCUUGCGGUCACGCUGCAACUCUUUGCCAUGGAAGGGACAGUCACGACCAGUGAUUUUCGAAGCUCAUAUCUCACCCGUCCCACGUCGAAUUAUGCUCAAAUUUGGUGAGCAUGUUCGUCUAGUCAAGACGAGCGAUUCGAUAGGAGGCACGCCCCGUGACAACAAUCGAGCACGAAGAAAAGCUAGAAAGAAGUUGAUCCGUGAAUAAAGUUCAGGAAAUUCAAUAGCGUUGUGUCUCACUCAAGCCGUCAGAUCACGUCGCUCGCGAGCCCAAUCGACGCGAGACCAAUUCCAUUGUGGGCGUAAGGUCUCGGGCUAUCACUGACCAUAACCCCGUAUAUGAUGAACCGUCGGAUUCUGCACAGGAAGUCGACGAGGCGACUACAAAUUCCGUCUCCAAAAUUUCAGUUUCUGGCCAAAAUUCCAAAGUUACGAAAUCUUCAUUCGAGCACGGAAUCGAGCUACGUUGGUGCCCUGCGAUCGUAACGGCAUGCUUAGUGUAGUUCAGCGAAGAAAUCAUCGAAAAACAUUAAGGAACGAGUACACUAUCAAUCCGAAGUUUCAAGAUCCACUCAAAUUUCAAGUCACACGAUCGUGCACUAAAAACACGAUCCAUGGCUCGAAGUUGGUAUCAAAUCGAUUUCCAUGCCAAGUCCCACAAAAAAACAAUCAUCUUACGAGCAACCGGGCAUCAGAACGACCCUGGAUCAUCCAUGCAAGAUCAUACAAGUUUUAGGGCAACACAAGGACUGUUUUGGAAUUCCACGAAUUGUUAGAAAGGGGCAAAUCUAUCAUUUUGUACCUUAUUUUCUAAAUUGUUUUAAAUCAAUUUAAUCUUAAUUUCGAGCAAUUAGGGUUACUUUUGAUCAUCCACCCAUGUUUGGGGUAAAUUCUAUAUAUACGUACCAGCAUUGUACGUAGAAAAGACACACACAGGAUUCUUCUCCUUAUAAAAGAGAGUUUUUAUUGAAUAUAAUUUCUCUUUCUUCCCACUAUUGUGUCACGCUUGAGAGAGUGAGGUGAGGGAAACUUUUGACCGGUACCCUUAGGUUCGAGGUAAACCUUCUCUCUCCUAUUUUUCUUUUAUUCUCUUUCUCCUCUUUUCUCUCUUCUUCUCUUCCUUCUUCUUCUUCCCCAUCUGAGAUCUCCUUAAAGGCCAUGCACGACAGUGGCAGUGCUGUGCAUGCCUCUCUGAUAGCCUCACAGGUUACACUUGGCGAUGGCAGUUCCAUGCAUGCAUCUCUUUCUCCCUCUGUUCUAUCUCUUUCGUGAGGCCUACUGACGGCUUUGCUCAUCGUCCUUUGCGGGCGUAUCCUACGUGCCUAAGCGAGGGACGCGGGUAAUGAACCCUAUCGCCGCCCGCAGGGGAUUCACCCUGUCGCCUGACCGUUGCAGAUGGCAAUACCUAUCAUUGUCUGUAAAGGGUCGAGGCAAUACUCGUCACUACGCGCUGGCUUCUUCUGCGCUUCCCUGCGCCCAUCGCCGUGCGCCCUACGAGAAGUAAUCGCCGUGAGACCUAUGAGAAGUUAUCGCCAUGCGCCUCGUUAGGAGCCAUCACUGUUCGCUAGGGACAUGUUGCCUUCUCAUGCUGCCAACAACAAUGCCCAUUGCCAUCUGGAUUCUUCCUCCCUCUACUGUCUUUCUCUCUCUUCUUACUUGAUUGAGGAUAGAUCUAGCUUAGCACCGCUAUCUCGGUCUCUAUUUAGAGUAGUAUUGCCAUCGUGCUGAUCCUGAGGACCAUGCCCGUCUUGCUACCACUCUGAGUCGAUAAUUGUUCGGAUGUCAUGCUAACUUCGCCUCUCCAUCUUUUUCUUCUCUUUUCUAUCUUUAUCUAAAACUUUAUGUUUCAUCAUGUUAUCACAUGAAUGUACGUUGCCCUAAGACAAGGGUAGGUCUCCUUGACCCACUUGUAUAACAAAUUAACCAUAGAAGUGUUGUGCAGAAAACAAGAGGAUUGCAGGUCAAGAGAGACGAUUCCAAACCAGCUAAAGCACCUGGGGGCCUGUCUUCGUAUUCUAAGAGGACACUCACGUGAGCCAGCUUGAGUAAGUCUUUAACCCACCUAAAAUUCUUCUCUCAUCGAUUGAUAUACCUGCCCUUGCGCUCGAACAAGGUUCUGAGAGAACGAUCUCAAUCCUCGGGUUCACCAGAAACCUGAGGUAUGUGCGCUCAUCUAGAUUCGAAAGGUGAGAUCGAGACACCUAACCAGCUGGUCCCAUUGCUUGGGGUAGCCUAGAGGCUAUUGCUCCCUCUCCCGCGAUUGAUAAUUCAUCUAUCAUUGCUCCUUCGGGUCGCCGUGAGGCUACCCCCAUUCUCUAUCACUUCAUACCCCUGUAACAAGAGGCUCGACACCAAGAGGAGGUGGUUCUGAAGCCACCACCUCGUACACACCCACCAAAGCUAGUGAACCAUCCAUGCCUGCCAUACCUCUGGGCAACCCUCAGGUUACCUCAAGAUAUUUUCAGGGAGCAGGUCUUCUUGAACCUAGCCCUGCACAACGUUUGCAUGCACAUUGCACCACCCGGGGCAACCCUCAGGUUACCUCGAGACACUAUCAGGGUUCGGGUCUUCCUAAACCUAGCCCUGCACAUCU
rnacentral:lncRNA from 1 species